UUAUCUCUGUAGAGUCUGCAUAUCAAUAAGCGGAGGAAAAGAAACUAACUAGGAUUCCCUUCAGUAACGGCGAGUGAAGCGGGAAGAGCUCAAAUUUGAAAUCUUCAAGGUUUACCUUGACGAAUUGUAGUUUAAAGAAGUGUUUUCUGUUGGAGUUUCGGUAAAAGUUCUUUGGAAUAGGACAUCAUAGAGGGUGAGAAUCCCGUAUUUGACCAGUUACUUUCCAGCUGUGUGAUACACUUUCAAAGAGUCGGAUUGUUUGGGAAUGCAGUCCAAAAUGGGUGGUAAAUUUCAUCUAAAGCUAAAUAUUGGCGAGAGACCGAUAGCGAACAAGUACCGUGAGGGAAAGAUGAAAAGAACUUUGAAAAGAGAGUUAAACAGUACGUGAAAUUGUCAAAAGGGAAGCGUUUGACACCAGUGUUGUUUUCUCGAAAAUCAAUUAAAAAUGGCCGGAUUUUGUGUUGUAUUGACUUUAUCAGCUUUCUGCACUUUUUUCUUGUCUUUUUUAAUGCACUUUUCGUUUAACAAGUCAACAUCAAUUUCUUUUGUUGUAAAAGAGUCAUUGGAAGGUGGCUUUCACUUCGGUGAAAGUGUUUAUAGCCUUUGACUUCUGCGAUCGGAGAGAUUGAGGUCUGCAGCGUAGAUCCUUCGGGGUUAGAUACAUUUGUGCUAAGUUAUAGUUUUUCAUAGACAACAUGUUGACUAUGAUUAAUCAUGUAGCUUACUCGCUUAUGCUAUUUUACCUACGCUUAGGAUGUUGAACGCGCACAGAGUCUC
rnacentral:rRNA from 1 species